UAAAUGCGGGUUCCCCUGUGUUCCAAGCAGCUGCAGCAUCUUUCCCAGAUCCCAGCCCACCUCUCUCCACCAGCUGCCGAGGGAAUCACGCACAGCAGUCUCUGGACACCAAAGACCCGUGAGGGAGCAGGAGAAGCUGAGGAGCUCCUGUACCUGCUUGCCCUGGGGCAGGAGGUUCAGCGUGCCGUACACCCCCACGCUGCUCUCCGUGGACAGCACCAGCCCGUUGUAGCACUGGCACUGCAGCGAGACAGACAAAGGCACAGAUGUGUGCCUGCAUGGCAAUUCCUACAAUGCCACCGGCAGCAGCCUGGGAACAGAGCCCGCCAAAGUGAGCUGGGGUAAGGUUAAAUUAACUGCAGUCACUUUCCCUCCUCAGAGAACUAAACUGCCCUGCAAAACCUCGUUAAGAGAGGAGAUCUCAUUAAGUGCUACCCUGUAGGCAGCACAAGUGCUCUGUGCUGCGGGCACACCAUUAGCAUGCUGCAG